CUGCUGGGACGACAGGCUCCUGGCUAGAGGGUCUUGUCCCUCUGCUCAGGGUCCCCGUUGGGAUGGUGGGACCUGCCGGGCGGGCACCAGUUCUCCGGCCCUGUGGGGUCCAGGGAGCUGCCCUCUAGCCCGCUGCUCUCUGUGUGUGCAGACCGUUCGUCGGAGGCUGAGGCAGAUACUGGGAAGAGCCAAGCUGGGAGCAGCUUGGGGACACGUGGAGGAGACACCACCACGCCAGUGCACACAGCCCAGACCUGCAUGUCCUGCACCAUCCUGGAUCUCCGAGGAGCCCGAGGAAACGGAGGACCCUGACGCUGCCUUCAUGCAACCUCCCAGCCAUGCUGCCGUGGGGGAUGCCUUCAUGGGGCCGUUGCCGUUGGCCUGCCUAAGGGAGACCUUUGUGCUUUUGCAGGAAGAUGGCGUGGCUCUCCCCAGCCCAGCCUGGCACCCCCCUAAGUCCCCACCAGGACAGGCAGAUGGGUGUCAGAGUCAGCCCAUGCCUGUGCCAGUGCUGGAGCUGGCAGUUGCCCGGCAUCUGGGCUUACACAUCUGGUGCCUGGAGCUGCAGCGCCACCUGGGCCUCCCCAGCCCGGAUGCCAAGUCACUGCCCGUCUGAUCCCCCCAGUGCCGCUCCGGUGCCCCCGUCCCACAUACGCUGAGAGACGCCGGCUCUGGAAGAGCAUCUCCCGCACCCCUCGGGAUUCCCGCGCAGCCCUGCGGGUCUCGCACCCGCUGCCCGCCCUGCCUGAGGAGGCGCCACAGUGUGAGGAGGCUGAGGCCGUGAAGACAGAGGAGCCUGGAUCCAACCCACGGGAUAAGGCCGCGCGGCCUCCGGGAUUGGACACCCAGGAGCCCUGUGUCUGCCUCCCCAAGCCCUUGCCCUGCCGGGCCCUGAGGCUCAUGAGCCUCCCUGAGGCUGCCCUGAGCCAGCCCGCGCCCCAUGCUGACACCAGUCUUUCCAGCAGGGGAGCCCGGAGACACAG